rfam:Mus musculus chromosome 16, GRC primary reference assembly.
GCCCAGCUAGCUCAGUCUGUAGAGCAUAAGACUCUUAAUCUCAGGGUUGUAGGUUCGAGCCCCGCUAUGGGUG